rnacentral:lncRNA from 1 species
ACCUACCACGACCGGUCAUUUGACCGGUAGUACGAUUUAUACAUUUAUGUAAGAGUUUCUCUCUAAGACUCAAUGCCAAAACUAUAAAGUCGUUACAAACGAAAGUUCUCACUCGACUAUCGGGCUAGCGGUGUUUAUUUGCUUGAUUGAUAUGAUACGGUCAAGAUCCUCGAAUGUUCUACGCCAUCUCAUCUACUAUGACGUAAAAUAAAUAAACUUGUAACUGAA